AUUGAACGCUGGCGGCAUGCCUUACACAUGCAAGUCGAACGGUAACAGGUUAAGCUGACGAGUGGCGAACGGGUGAGUAACACAUCGGAACGUGCCCAAUCGUGGGGGAUAACGUAGCGAAAGCUACGCUAAUACCGCAUACGAUCUACGGAUGAAAGCGGGGGAUCGCAAGACCUCGCGCGAAUGGAGCGGCCGAUGGCAGAUUAGGUAGUUGGGGAGGUAAAGGCUCACUAAGCCUGCGAUCUGUAGCUGGUCUGAGAGGACGACCAGCCACACUGGGACUGAGACACGGCCCAGACUCCUACGGGAGGCAGCAGUGGGGAAUUUUGUACAAUGGGCGCAAGCCUGAUCCAGCAAUGCCGCGUGCAGGAUGAAGGCCUUCGGGUUGUAAACUGCUUUUGUACGGAACGAAACGGUCCUUUCUAAUACAGGGGGCUAAUGACGGUACCGUAAGAAUAAGCACCGGCUAACUACGUGCCAGCCGCCGCCGUAA
rnacentral:rRNA from 1 species